GCCCAGAUGGCGGAACAGGUAGACGCACAGGACUUAAAAUCCUGAGGGUGCAAGCCCGUGCCAGUUCGAUUCUGGUUCUGGGCACCA
rnacentral:tRNA from 1 species